CUUCACUUCAUCCUUUCUUCCACAGCCGAGUGGUUCCCAACCACGCAGACCGGACUGAAUUACUUCUCAGGCAGCUCACCCCUCUCCAGCAGCAAUACCUCCUUGGUCCAUCAGGAUCCCUCUACCUCCAGUGUGGAGAGCAGACAGCUGGGGAGACGAGCCAGGAGGCCACCGCAGCCAGGCAGAAGAGAGAUGGUGACAGCAGGGACCAGGGUGCUGACUGUGGAAGUGGCAAGGAACCGUCAGGGGCGCGAUGAGGUAAAGAAACUGAAGCUUUCUCGAGUUCAGCAAAUUCCUAGUCAGAAUGCAGUUGUGGGUUGCUGAUCACAUUCUGACGACUCGAGCUUGACCGUAGGCAAAGGCUGACACAGAACCCACAAGUCAACAAGUGAACAAAGCGGCAGUCCAGCGUGCUGGCGGGAGAGAAAGGGCUCCCCUCCUCCUCCUCAGCCCCCUCUCUCCAUUCAUCUCCCCUUUGCACCCUUAAUAAAAGCCCGGAGAUUGA